rnacentral:rRNA from 1 species
GACGAAAGGAGUAAUCCACCUAAGGAGGGGCUCGCGGUCCAUUAACUAGUUGGAGCGGUAAUGGCGCACCAAGGCUAAGAUGGGUAGCCGGUCUGAGAGGAUGAUCGGCCACACUGGAACUGAGACACGGUCCAGACUCCUACGGGAGGCAGCAGUGGGGAAUAUUGCGCAAUGGAGGAAACUCUGACGCAGCAACGCCGCGUGGGUGAAGAAGGUCUUCGGAUUGUAAAGCCCUGUCGGGAGGGAAGAAAAGCACAUGGUGAAUGUGUCUGACGGUACCUUCGAAGGAAGCACUGGCUAACUCCGUGCCAGCAGCCGCGGUAAUACGGAGAGUGCAAACGUUGUUCGGAAUUAUUGGGCGUAAAGGGCGCGUAGGCGGCUCGGUAAGUCAGAUGUGAAAGCCCGGGGCUCAACCCUGGAAGUGCGUUUGAAACUGCUGAGCUUGAGUGCAGGAGGGAGAGGUGGAAUUCCAGGUGUAGGAGUGAAAUCCGUAGAUAUCUGGAGGAACACCGGUGGCGAAGGCGACCUCUUGGCCUGAUACUGACGCUGAGGCGCGAAGGCGUGGGGAGCAAACAGGAUUAGAUACCCUGGUAGUCCACGCGGUAAACGAUGCUCACUGGGUGCUGGUGGCAGACGCUGGCAGUGCCGUAGCUAACGCGAUAAGUGAGCCGCCUGGGGAGUACGGUCGCAAGAUUAAAACUCAAAGGAAUUGACGGGGGCCCNCACAGCGGUGGAGCAUGUGGUUUA